rnacentral:piRNA from 1 species
UAUCAGAGCCAUGGAUGGUCUUAAUGGA